rnacentral:rRNA from 1 species
UACGAGGGGGGCGAGCGUUGUUCGGAAUUAUUGGGCGUAAAGGGUGCGUAGGCGGUUUGGUAAGUCUUAUGUGAAAUCUAUGGGCUCAACUCAUAGUCUGCAUGAGAAACUGCCGGGCUUGAGUAUGGGAGAGGUGACUGGAAUUCCUGGUGUAGCAGUGAAAUGCGUAGAUAUCAGGAGGAAUACCGAUGGCGAAGGCAGGUCUCUGGGCUGACACUGACGCUCAUGCACGAAAGCGUGGGGAGCAAACAGG